GUUGCGAUGAGUGAAGUAUUAUUUAACUUAUAAAAAGAUCUCUCGCCUAUAUGAAAUUUUCUUCAGAUAGUUAUCAUCAUAGCAUUUAUACAUAUGCAUAUGCACGUUUCGAAACAACCUUCACGUAUAAAACUCAUUGUAUUUAUUGUUUUAGAAGUCUAUAUAUGGUAAUUGUAAUGACCCAAUCCCACCAUCUCCACUUCUUUCCCCAACCCCACCAUCUUCACCUUCUUUUCCACUAUCUCCACCCUCUUUCCCACCAUUUCCAUCUUCUAUAAUUCACAAACUUAGAAAGAAAGAAAGAGAGAGAGAGAAAGAAAAAGAGAGAGAGAGGAAGAAGAGGAAGGGAGAAAGCUCACCUGAGCUCGUCGCCGGAGCAACCGUGCGCCGUGAUCACGUUCAGCUUGCCAGCACCGAUCAACACCCUAGGCCAUCAUCGUGUUCCUCUCGACGAGACGAAGCCGUAGCCGCCGACCGCGCCGCAAUCGGAGCCCGGAUGAGCCCGCACGCGCCUCCGGAAGUUUCGCCUCUGCGCGCGCGUGAGGUGCACGCGCCGCCGCCGGAAAUCGUCGCCGCCGCCUUCGCCGCCGAUUUGGAGUCCAUUUGAGCAGCUGGAGUUCAUAGAUACCACUUCUUAUUAUUGCUAAGGUGAGACCGACGAGCAGGAGUGAUUAUCGGACUGGUGCUAUUGGGCUUUUGGGUUUCUAUCGCUUUUACCGCUUUUAUCUUUAUCGGGCCUUUAGGCCUCUGGACUUUUAUCGUUUAUGUUAUUCCUAUUUCAGACUUUCGGUUUAUGUCGUAUUUUAUAUUUCGGAUGUUAUCGAUGUUGGGCUUUUAGGCCUUUUGGUACCGUAUUGACUUUUAUAUUAUGAUAUGAAGAUUAUUAUUAUUUGAGUUGUAUUAUUAUUUUAUUUCUGCUUUUAUCAAUUUAUUAUAUUUCGAAAGUGGCGGGUGUCACAAUUUGGUAUCAGAGCGGGUUCCAUCCCGGUUCCGUCCCGGGAUGGCGGUCAGGGGAUUCGGUUUUCAUCGGUUUUCAACGUUCUUUUUGUUUAAAAAAAAUAUAUAUAUAUUUAUUUAUAUAUUUGGAAAUUCUUUUAGCACCAUUAUGUCCAGUAAUUACUAACUCAAUUGUCUCUUUCAAUGACGAUGAGUAAAAUCAUCGUCAUUCGUCCUUCGACUAUCAGAGUUCUCGCCAGAUGUUCAGCAGUUGGGUGAUGUCCAAGUUCGUCAGUUUUCUCAGGAGUUAUCAGUUCUUCGGUCAUUAUUUUGAGGUUAUCCAGGAGUGGAUAUGUGACGUUUCUGCCACCAACCCACUUCAAGCAAUCGUUCCACGAGUUUUGCUACUGGAGAUUAUGUGGUGUGUGGUAUGAGCCAUUGGUUGGCAUGUGUUGUUGUGUGUACGAGUAUAUUGACUAUUUUGGAGAUAUAUUUGUUUUGUGAACUCGUGGAGAUCGCUUUUGAAUUGGGGUGCAGCAGCUUGCGUUGUGUGGGUGUUGGAGUUACACUUUGGUAUGUUUACCAAUUUUGGCAGUGUUGAUCGUUUCAGAGAUGUGUCGGUUUGGACAAUUGAUAUAGGACAUUGGGAGCUGUUUAUGUCCAUCGCGGUGUACCAAUUAUGCUUGGAGGGCCGAUUUUUUCGGAGACUCGUCAGGGAUUGAGCUAUGUUUUUACGAUGUCAUCCUUGGGAUGGAUUGGCUGUCACGUCAUCAAGUAGUGUUGGAUUUCCUGAGGGCAAGAGUUCCUAUUGCUGAAGCAAAUGGAAGUUUUUAUUGCAUGCAUUCUACAUGCUGAGGAGUUAUGGGAUAUAAGAACAUAGAGAUUUUUGGCUACCAUUUCAAUGGUUAAGGAUGAUGGACAACAUGGGCUGCAGGAUCUUCCGGUUAUUACAGAGUAUGAGGAUAUAUUUGUGACCUUUGGAAAGGCCACCACAAGACACAUGAGACGCUCUUGCAAUUUUAUUUUAUUUUGGAGCAAACAGCACUGGCUUCACGAGUUUCUUAUCGUCUAUCACCAGCAUGGAUGACUGAGUUGAGAAAGCGAUUGGAGGAACUCUUUGAUAAGGGAUUUAUCAGAUCGAUUUUUUCCCCAUGGGGAGCAUCAUUGUUGUUGUAAAUAAGAAAGGUGGGAGUUUCAGAUUUUGUAUCGACUACAUAGACUUGAACAUGGUAACCAUCAUAUUGACGAGUUGUUAGAAGAGCUUAAUGGAGGUUCAUCGUUCUCGAAGUUUGUCUUGGCAUCAAGAUACCAUCAGAUUGCUAUAGCUGAGGAGUAUGUACGGAAUGCAGAUUUCUGUUAUGGAUAUUACGAGUUCGUAGUGAUACCAUUUGGGUCGACAAAGGCACUGUUGCAUUCAUGAAGAUAUGAAUGACGUUUUCGUGAACAUUUGGAUAGGUGUGCGAUUGUAUUCACCAACGACAUCCUGAUUAUUUUGGAAUAGAAAGGAGAUUUGUGAGCAUUUAGCGGAUUGCGUUGGAUAAGCCUGGAGAGCAUCAGUUGUUCGCUAAGUUGAGGAAGUGUAGCUUCUGGCAGAGGAAUGUUGUAUUUUUGGGUAACAUGGUUUUGGAAGCAGAAUUUUGAUGGAUCCAAAGAAGAUUAAUACCGUUUCGGGAAGGUCGAAACCUAAGAGCGCUACAAAGAUCUGCCGUUCUUUUUGGGUUAAUAGUGUACUACUGGAAGUUCAUCAAGGGUUUCACCGGUAUAGUAAUGUUAAAGACGCGGUCUACGUGUAAAGACGUUAAGUGUGGUUGGAUAGAUUUUUGUUCGAGGAGUUUCACUGAAUUGAAGCACAACUAAUGAAGACACCAGUUUUGGGUUCUACUGAGGCUGAGGCUUACUGUGAUGUGUCAGAUACUGGAUUGGAUUUAAAUUAAGGUAUGAGGAUUAAGUCAUUUAUAUGCCUCACGCCAGAGAGGCUGUAGUGGUAUUUGCGUUAUAGUUUUGGAGAUCGUAAUUGUACGGGAAGGAAGUCCAGAUUCUAUGGGAUCAUUAGAGUAUGAUAUUUAUCUUCACUGAUUAAAAAUUGCACUUGGGCAGUGCAGUUGGAUUGAGUUUGUAGCAGACUAUAGUUUGGAUAUCGCAUACUAUCUGGUAAGGACAACCAGGUGAUAAAUGCCUUGGGUAGGCGUAUGAGCUGUAUCUCGGGAACCAAGAAGGUUCAUGAGUUUACUGGGAGAUUUGCUAGUCUCAGGUUGGGUGCCAUUACUAUCAUUGGAGAGAAAGAUGUCCUUGGGACUUUGGAGCAGACAGUUUUGCUAUGGAGGAUACACAAGCACAAGUUAGCAUUAUGGAUUGGUUGAACAGAUCGAGGUUGGGAGUAUUGGAUAUCAUACAGUUCUGAGCAGGAUAUACUUGUACCGAAACCGAGUUUGUGUGUUGGACGAUAAGUUGUUAAGAAAAUGAAUCAUACAAAAAACAUAUCACUCGUGUUUCUCUACCCAUCGGGAACACCAAAGGGUACAAAGAUAUGAAGAGUUAACUAUAAUUGAUGUAGUAUGAAGAUGUUUGUAACUACAUUGCGUCGCGGUGCCAGACAUGUUAUAUGACUAUGAUAGAGGAUCAGUUAUCUAUCAUGUUAUUUUUGAGCUUGCUUUUGCCGGAGUGGAAAUGAGGCAUGGUGAUUAUGGACAUUGUUAUUGGAUUUUAAAUCACCAUAUGUGGAAAGGAUGCCACAUGGGUAGUCAUGGAUAGACUUACCAAGUCAGCCCAUUUCCUAAGUAAUUAAGAAGACAAUCAGAGCUAAUCAAUUGGAGCAGACCUACAUUAUUGAGUUUGGGAAGUUUCAUGGAUGUCAACAUUGUAUCGGAUUGGGAAUCGAAGUUCACAUCUACAUUUCAGAGAGCCUUUCAGAAGGCACUUGAGACAAAGAUCAUAUGAGUACAGCUUAUCACCCAUUGACAUAUUGUCAGUCAGAGAGGACUACUCAGAACUUAAAGGAUAUGUUCAGAGAUUGCGUUGGAUGGAAUUUCGGAAAGCAUCUACCUUUACCAGAGUUUGCCUACAUCGACAACUAUCUUUUGAGUAUUAAAAAAUAAAAAAAAAACUAUACGAGGGUUAUUUAUGGUAGACCUUAUAGUAUACCACUUUGUUGGACCAAAGUGGGGUAGCAAUAUGAGUUAGAACUAUUAAUGGUUUAAGAGACGGUAGAGCAGAGGACAUGCUCAAGGAUUGGCUUUCGGAAGCCCAUGACGUCAGAGGAUUUAUGCAGCUAAGCACCAUAAGGAUUUGGAGCUACAUAUGAGCACCUAAUAUACCUGAAAAUAAGGACAUUUCAGGAGGGACCUAAGACUCAGAAGAUAAAGGAGCUUAAACCGAGACACAUGGAAUUGUAUCCUUCACUGAAGUGGAUUGGAUUAGUUGCUUGCAGUUACUUUAUCAGCAGUAUAUCAGCCUUCUAGGACUUGGUUCAUAUGACAGCAUUGCAAAAGUUGAGAAGGCGCUAUAAUUAUUUUGCAGUAGACAUCAAGUGAGUUCAUAAAGAUUUUAUGAACCUUAUCAUCUAUUGAAGAUUUUGAAUCAUCAUGAGAAAACAGUUCGGGGAAUAUCGACUGUGUUUGUCCGAGUUCGUUGGGAGGGAGAUAAGACUCAGGAGGAGACCUGAAAGGCCGAGCGAAGAUUAGUAUUCGAGGUUUUGCUAUGAUGACAUUGGGCACGUCAGCUUAUGACAUGAAUUCGGGGACGAAUUCCUUAUAAGUGGGGGAUAAUUGUAAUGACCCAAUCCCACCAUCUCCACUUCUUUCCCCAACCCCACCAUCUUCACCUUCUUUUCCACUAUCUCCACCUUCUUUCCCACCAUCUCCAUCUUCUAUAAUUCACAAACUUAGAAAGAAAGAAAAAGAGAGAGAGAGAGAAAAAGAGAGAGACAGGAAGAAGAGGAAGGGAGAAAGCUCACCUGAGCUCGUCGCCGGAGCAACCGUGCGCCGUGAUCACGUUCAGCUUGCCACCACCGAUCAACACCCUAGGUAACCGCCGGAAACUGCAUGCCUUAAGUUCAGUUUCGUUUCCGUUUAGUAAAUCACCCAUAACUUCCUAACCAUUGCGAAUCUCGUGCAUCCAAGGCCAUCAUCGUGUUCCUCUCGACGAGACGAAGCCGUAGCCGCCGACCGCGCCGCAAUCGGAGCCCGGAUGAGUCCGCACGCACCUCCGGAAGUUUCGCCUCUGCGCGUGAGGUGCACGCGCCGCCGCCGGAAAUCGUCGCCGCCGCCUUCGCCGCCGAUUUGGAGUCCAUUUGAGCAGCUUGAGUUCAUAGAUACCACUUCUUAUUAUUGCUAAGGUGAGACCGACGAGCAGGAGUGAUUAUCGGACCGGUGCUAUUGGGCUUUUGGGUUUCUAUCGCUUUUACCGCUUUUAUCUUUAUCGGGCCUUUAGGCCUUUGGACUUUUAUCGUUUAUGUUAUUCAUAUUUCAGACUUUCGGUUUAUGUCGUAUUUUAUAUUUCGGAUGUUAUUGAUGUUGGGCUUUUAGGUCUUUUGGUACCGUAUUGACUUUUAUAUUAUGAUAUGAAGAUUAUUAUUA